UCAAAACACAACAAGGCUCCAGUGCCAGAGCUGUUCGACCUCUAUGGCAUGUCCAAUAUUGCACCAUACAAGAAGGCCAAGGCAUUCUCUGAGUCUGACCUCGAAAAUGCAAAGAACUUCAGCAACAAGAUGGUGCAGUACGUUAAGCAGGGGAAGGCGAGGAAAGGGCCGGACUUUAACCCGAGCCGGCCUCUUGAUCCAGAGCUGGUGAUGAUAUCUGGUGGCGGGAGGUCCCAUGGCUCGUUAGCCAUUGGUAAUGGACUGAUACGUUGUAGUAGCACUCUCCCGCAGAUCAAGAAGCGCCAGACCAGCUCUGAUCCUGAGAUACUGCCUCGUUUACGACCAGUGGAAAUCGAAUUCCAGGCUGCUAUUGAGGCAGAGAGAGUGAAGACCCAGGCUGCUUUUGAGGAGAGGGACCGGAAGUUGGCGGAGAGGGAGCGGCAGGCGGCGGAGAGGGACAGGGAGAAUGAGGAGAGGACGGCUAGGCUGUUGGAGGAGGAGAGGAACCGGAACAACUCGGCUAACCGGGCCAUGUACGAGCUCUUCGUG
rnacentral:rRNA from 1 species